rnacentral:lncRNA from 1 species
AAGAAACAUGACAUGUGAGAGGCAAGGCGAUGGGUGCUACAACAGCUAAUUCAGGAAACCUCCUUGCCUUCCUUUGUGACCAAAGGAAACUUGGGAACAAUUCCCACAGAAAGGGCACAGCGACUCAUACAAGAAGAGAUGGAGGUCUGUGGUGAAGCAGCAGGGAGAUACCCAAGCAACUAUAAUGCUUGGUCCCAUCGCAUCUGGGUUUUACAGCACUUGGCCAAGCUAGAUGUCAAGGCGGCAUAUUUUCUACCUUCAGCAUCACUUAAAUGGUAGGUUUCCUCACAGCAUGACCCAGUUGUCACCUGCAGACAGCCCUGGGGGGACUUUGAGUGACUUGCACCUUAUCCCAGCAGGCUCCCAGCUGUCUCAAGCAAUGGAAGUAGAUGGACUGAAUGACUCUAGCAAGCAAGGCUAUUCCCAGGAAACCAAACGCCUGAAGCGGACGCCAGUUCCAGACUCCCUAGGCCUAGAAAUGGAGCACAGGUUCAUUGAUCAAGUAUUGUCCACCUGUCGGAACGUGGAGCAAGCCAGGUUUGCCAGUGCAUACAGGAAAUGGCUGGUUACUUUGAGUCAAUGAAAGAAGUGAAUUAGUCCUACAAGGUUCCCCUUUUAGUGCAAUAUUGCUUUCUUUUAUUAUUUACAUAGUUGCAUGAACUGUUUACUAUUAUUGGCUAACCAUAUGUUCUUCAUCUUUAGGUUGAAAGUCCAUAGUAAAUCUUUCAUUUUAUUUAUUUUGUUAAUAACUGGCAUUCCUGUGGGGAUAAAAUAAUCGUAUAGUUCCUUCCUGCUGAACAGUGAGUCUUAAAUUUUCUGUUUAACUUCUCACCCUUUGUAUUUCUAUAUGUGGGGCUUCUCAUUUGGUUUUCCUGAUUGGUUCACACACACACACCUCUACCCCCCUCAGUCCAAUUGCUGCAUAGGCAAAUUCUUUUAAAAAUUAAAAAUUUAAGGCCUAGGCAGGAGGAUUGCCUGAGCCCAGGACUUUGAGACCAACCUGGGCCACAUAGCAAGACCCCAUUUCUACAAAAAGUAAAACAAAAUAGCUAGGCAUGGUGCUAUGCAACUGUGUUCCUAGCUAUGCAGGAAGCUGAGGCAGAAGGAUUGCUUGAGCCCCAGGUGUUUGUGGCUGUAGUGAGCCAUGAUUGCACCACUGUACUCAGCCUGGG